ensembl:lncRNA
GUGUGUGUGUGUGUGUGUUCGGUGGGGAAAACAGCGAUCCAGAGGGACGACUCUUUUUCACCCUCAUCUGUAAUGAGUUGCUUCAUUUUACAGGUGAAAAAUGCUGAAAAUAGCACACUUUUUUUGUUUUUUGUUUUUAAAAAAAAAAAGAUGUCAUUCUAAGCGCUAGCUGAAAAUCAGACAGGUCCCAGAUGAGUUUGUGUUUUUGACAUUAAAGCUUCUUUCAACAUGGUUAGCUUCUGGCUGGCUGGCCAGUUCCGGUGUGUGUUUCACCCCAUGGUGGCUCUUUGACCCUGUAAAACAGAUAAUUAGCUGAAGAAUGAGAUGCCUGGAUUACCUCGAACGUCACUGGAAAUUGAUAUUUUAUUUUCUCACAAGAAUGCAAGACUUUCUUCACAGAAAAAAGAAAAAUGUUCGAGGCGUAGUCGCCCGUGUGUACACUGUUAGGGGGAAACGGUUACAUAUAGAAUGCUACCUUCUGGUCCUACCGGGAAGUGGAACGGCGUGAGAAAAAAAGUUACUAUUUUGUAUCAAGAAGAUCUUUUUGCCUUCCUGAAAGAAAAAUAAAGAACUGAAUGGAAAACCCAUUGCUGUAGACGUUUCAUUCAUGCUAGGGGCCACCAUGACUUUUUGUUAUUCACACACACACACACACACACACACACACACACACACACACACACAACUCGGAAAGUCGGGGCUCAAAGAAAAAUACGAGUGCUUGAGUGGUAGCUAACUACAACAUUGCGGAGGCAUUCAUGUGCGUUCGGCUCGUAAUUAAGAUAUUUCCGACAGGACUUGAAGGCAGCAUAACUACGCUAAAGAGUCAUUUGGUUUGUCCCUCUGGAGACCGUUGUAAACCUCUACCCUCUGUUUCAGAGAACCCCUUCAGGACAUGAAGAACCCUUCAUCCCUGAGAAACUCUUUCUUUUUUUUUUUCUCUUCUCUUAAGGGUCUUUAGAAAAAGAAGGAAAAGAAGUCAUGCUCCUCCCAGGUUCAGGCCGAGGGGCUGCACUAACACGAGCAGCUACACAACACCACAAUUAGCGGCAGUCGCUGGGCUUUGUCUGUGCUGAGCUGCUCGACAGGACACAUAAUGGAGAGAGAGAGAGCGAGAGCGAGAGAGAUGCUUUUUCAGCACAGAAACAAUGAAGCCUCGAGCUGAAAUGGACAUUGCAUGAAAGGCCCGUCUCAGAGAUGAUUGCAUAACUUAAAAUAGGAGUCCAUUAGGAGCAGGG